rnacentral:lncRNA from 1 species
UUAGUUUAGUUAAUUUUUCCCUACUAAAAUCAACUAAUUAAGUAGCAUUUACUUAGUUAAUAUUAGUUAGCUUCCCAAUACUAAUUAAAAUAAAUUAAGUAGCACUAAUUUACUUAGUUUUACACUACUAAAUAAAAAUAAUAUAAUAAUAUAAAUUUAUAUUAAUUUGUAUAAUAUAAGAUAAUAUAAUAUAAAAUAAAAUAAUAUAUCAUUUGACCAGAUGAGAAACUUUAGAAGUGUUGAAGCACUAAUAUCUCAUUUGACCUUUUCUGCUAGGGAGUUCAUCAACCAACUCUAGACAUUUACAUUGGCUGUAAUCGUGGUGUCCUCCUGCUCUUAUACUAUGAUCAAGUGUUUGAUUAUAGGCGCUUCAUGAUUUUGAGUUGGAUGGCUGACAAGGUUAUCAGUAGUACGUGUCGAGGUCAAGAUUUUUAUUUGUCUCUUUUUUGUUCUUGUUCUUUGGUGUUCUAAUGUUAGGUGAGAUUUGUUUGAAAAAAUAAGUUGUGAAAAGGUCCGACAUGUAUAUGUGGACGAAUGGACUGUAAGAGUCGCCAAUUUGUUAUUUAUGUGGUUGUACCACCACAAUCGAGAAAAAGUUUGCACAUUGACCCAAUGAUGUGACACUGAUAAACGGGUCUGUCAAACCGAGAUUCAUUAGGGUCCGGGGGCAUGAUUAUGCGGAGGAAAGGUGUUAGGCACCCCCCGAAAUUUGUGUUACCACGAUGACCGCCACUUUUCAAGAAACUGUUAUAUGAAUGUGUGUGUGUGUGUGUGGGUCAAUGUGCAGUUAUAUGGAAGUAGUGCGAGGCCUCGUUCGCACCUAUAUACAAAGGGUCUGAAUUUGUGUAAAAAUUUAGUUUUAAACAAGAUAUGGCAGUGAUGUUUUGUAAAAGAGAUUCUUCAAACCCUUGUGCUCAAUAGAAAUUGAGGCCUUUGGAUACUUCCAUUUUUAUCAUGUUCGGCUUGAUUGCUUUUAUUUUCAAGAUGCAAAGCAUCUUCGGGAAAAAUAAUGUACAAGGCAGUGCCGAACUCCUCGUAGGCAUGAAAACCAUAUGGGGAAAUCCAAACAGUGUGAAUAAAUUUACAAGCUGCUUACAGCUGAAAAUGUCCAUUACGGGAACCGAAUCUAGAUUCAGUAGACUGAAUCUGUGAUCACAUGAUUCCUAGGCUCACAUGAUUCCACAAUUUAUAUGAAAAUAGUAAGCAGUUAUAUAUAUAAAAGCUGUAAAUAUAUAUAUACAGACAUGAU